GUCCCGGUAAAAGCUGACACUGUAGCUAAUUCUUUUAAUUAGGUUGUCCCAUCUUGGGUCAGUGGGCUAGACGGCUUUGAAGUUUGCUUUGCCUAAUUGCACAUGAGUGUUUUGGACAGAAAGCCUGCUGUUAGUGGGCUGGGAGGGCUCGAGGAGGGUUCAGGCAAGUGUCUGCCCAACCGCUCCACCUGUAGGAAGGUGGAGGAAAAUCCUUGGGGCUUCUCAAAAGGCUGAAAUCCUUCGGGUUUUUUUUUUUUUUUUUUUUUUUUUUUUUUUUUUUUUUUUUUUUUUUUUUCCAGGAAGGGCUUGUUGUGGCUAUUGCACAGCUGGGCAGGCCUUCCUGUGUACUUCUUCUUUCCUCUGACUGAUGCCAGCCAGUAGCCACGGCUGGCUGGUAGCUACUGCAUCUGCACCGACUUGAGUGGCCCCUCUUGAUGGAGAGGUUGAUAGACUCUGAGGACAGGAAGGAGAAACCUGCAGAGUCAUCACGUUCUGCAGCAGCUGAAGCCACAACUGCCUGCAAGACACAGAAGAGUGGAGUUGGGGGGGUUGACUUCCUGAAGCAGCCUUGCCGGUGCUGUGGAGAGCAAGAGAAAUCACAGGGAGUGCCUCCUUGUGUCCAGCUGAGGUCCUGGAAUAGAAACAGAGACGGGUUUGAAGCUGUCUGCAGGAAGAAAUAGGAGGAUAAAGAGGAUAAUAACCGUACCAGCUUCACCAACCCAUGGAGAGAACAGCUGAAGGGAGCAUGUGAAAUUGCUAUGAUGAAUAGCAGAAGAGGGGAAGGUUUCUUGCAGUGAGAGAGAUCUGAGCAGCACUUCAGACCAGGAGACAAACUGAGAAAAACCUUUUUUGGAUGUAGCUAGGUAGGUUGCUUGAAUCAUAUUAGAAG
rnacentral:lncRNA from 1 species